rnacentral:rRNA from 1 species
UACAGAGGGCGCGAGCGUUGUCCGGAAUCACUGGGCGUAAAGGGCGCGUAGGUGGCCACCAUAAGGCCGCGGUGAAAGUUCGGGGCUCAACCCUGAAUCGGCCGCGGCGACUGUGGGGCUCGGGUACUGUAGAGGCAGAUGGAAUUCCGGGUGUAGCGGUGGAAUGCGUAGAGAUCCGGAGGAACACCGGUGGCGAAGGCGGGUCUCUGGGCAGUAACUGACGCUGAGGAGCGAAAGCGUGGGGAGCGAACAGG